UGUGAAACUGCGAAUGGCUCAUUAAAUCAGUUAUCGUUUAUUUGAUUGUACUUUACUACAUGGAUACCUGUGGUAAUUCUAGAGCUAAUACAUGCGAAAAAUCCCGACUUCUGGAAGGGAUGUAUUUAUUAGAUUAAAAACCAAUGCGAGUCUUCGGGCUCGUUUUCUUGGUGAUUCAUGAUAACUUUUCGAAUCGCAUGGCCUAGCGCCGGCGAUAUUUCAUUCAAAUUUCUGCCCUAUCAACUGUCGAUGGUAAGGUAGUGGCUUACCAUGGUUAUAACGGGUGACGGAGAAUUAGGGUUCGAUUCCGGAGAGGGAGCCUGA
rnacentral:rRNA from 1 species